rnacentral:rRNA from 1 species
AGAGUUUGAUCCUGGCUCAGAUUGAACGCUGGCGGAAUGCUUUACACAUGCAAGUCGAACGGCAGCACGGACUUCGGUCUGGUGGCGAGUGGCGAACGGGUGAGUAACAUAUCGGAACGUAUCCAAUAAUGGGGGAUAACUAAUCGAAAGGUUGGCUAAUACCGCAUACGCCCUACGGGGGAAAGCAGGGGAUCUUCGGACCUUGCGUUAAUGGAGCGGCUGAUAUCUGAUUAGCUAGUUGGUGAGGUAAAGGCUCACCAAGGCGACGAUUAGUAGCUGGUCUGAGAGGACGACCAGCCACACUGGAACUGAGACACGGUCCAGACUCCUACGGGAGGCAGCAGUGGGGAAUUUUGGACAAUGGGCGCAAGCCUGAUCCAGCCAUUCCGCGUGAGUGAAGAAGGCCUUCGGGUUGUAAAGCUCUUUCGCAAGGGAAGAAAACUUACUUUCUAAUAAAGAGUGAGGUUGACGGUACCUUGAUAAGAAGCACCGGCUAACUACGUGCCAGCAGCCGCGGUAAU